rnacentral:rRNA from 1 species
UACGAUGGAGGGCUAGCGUUGCUCGGAAUCACUGGGCGUAAAGCGCACGUAGGCGGGUCGUUAAGUCGGGGGGUGAAAUCCUGGAGCUCAACUCCAGAACUGCCUUCGAUACUGGCGAUCUUGAGUCUGGGAGAGGUGAGUGGAACUCCGAGUGUAGAGGUGAAAUUCGUAGAUAUUCGGAAGAACACCAGUGGCGAAGGCGGCUCACUGGCCCGGUACUGACGCUGAGGUGCGAAAGCGUGGGGAGCAAACAGG